CAGACGGCUGAGUAACGCGUGGGAAACUACCUUUCGGUACGGAAUAGCCUCGGGAAACUGGGAUUAAUACCGUAUACGUCCUUCGGGAGAAAGAUUUAUCGCCGAUUGAGGUGCCCGCGUUGGAUUAGCUUGUUGGUGAGGUAAUGGCUCACCAAGGCGACGAUCCAUAGCUGGUCUGAGAGGAUGAUCAGCCACACUGGGACUUAGACACGGCCCAGACUCCUACGGGAGGCAGCAGUGGGGAAUAUUGGACAAUGGGCGAAAGCCUGAUCCAGCCAUGCCGCGUGAGUGAUGACGGCCUUAGGGUUGUAAAGCUCUUUCAGUGGGGAAGAUAAUGACGGUACCCACAGAAGAAGCCCCGGCUAACUCCGUGCCAGCAGCCGCGGUAAUACGGAGGGGGCUAGCGUUGUUCGGAAUUACUGGGCGUAAAGCGCGCGUAGGCGGAUCUUUAAGUCA
rnacentral:rRNA from 1 species